rnacentral:rRNA from 1 species
UACGGAGGGUGCAAACGUUGCUCGGAAUCAUUGGGCGUAAAGCGCACGUAGGCGGCCCAGCAAGUCGGGUGUGAAAGCCCUCGGCUUAACCGAGGAAGUGCAUUCGAAACUACUGAGCUUGAAUACUGGAGAGGAUCGCGGAAUUCCCAGUGUAGAGGUGAAAUUCGUAGAUAUCGGGAGGAACACCAGUGGCGAAGGCGGCGAUCUGGACAGAUAUUGACGCUGAGGAGCGAAAGCGUGGGGAGCGAACAGG